UGAAGUAUAGUUCUGUGUUAGAACACUGCCUAGUAUGCAUAGAGAUCUAGGUUCGAUCCCCAGCACUGCAA
rnacentral:tRNA from 1 species